rnacentral:lncRNA from 1 species
AUGAAGUCUACAGCAUUAGCAAUGCAGGAGGAAUUAGCUAUUUUUUUCAAACAAAGAAAGGAAGCAUUCAACAGUAAAGUUAAAAUUACUCCUUAAUUGUAUAGCACAGACAAAGAGACAGUGGAAUACGAACGCUCACGAGCUAAUGCCUGGAUACCUCUGAAAUGAGUAAGCUCGAAAUGCCUCUGUACUUAGGAAAAGAGCAUCAUGGAGGCAGAAAGUGGUACAUGUGGAAGGAUCACUUGCAAUCUUUUAAUCAGUCAAUUGAUUUUCUGUUUGAUCCUGUAAAAUAACGCGCUCUCCUCCUACUUCACCCCCAAAUAUAUGCGGUUUACAUUUGUUACGUUUGAUGAGCUGAGAGGAAUUGAAAUCAUCUCAGUUCUGUGUGAAUGAGGAGUGGGAAAAUCUGCGUUGGACCUUCUGCACAGGAGUCCCUCAUCUCCUGUCCCAGGCCACUUGUACAACACCAAAAAGGAAGGUCAAGAUUCAAAGGACUUACAAGUGAAAAAAGACAGGGAAGAAGAGAGGGUUUUUUGAUACUCUGGAACAAGGCAAUGAAAACAGAAGGCAUACCUCAGGGAUACUGAAGACUUCCCGUCUUGAGCUACUGUGCAAAUGGAAUAUUUACUUACAGAGAGGAACUGCCUCAAUAAGCAAUGUCAAGAGUGACCUAACCCCCAACAGCUCUAGCAGAGAAAGUGUUUCUGUGGGAGCUGUGUGGAUGACAGCGCCCUGAGCUGAAUGCACACGAAGCAACGUCAUGGGUAAGUGUUGUAACUAACCAGCAAUUAGCUAUGCUGAUCUCGUUUACUCUCUGUUGUUAUUGUUGUUCUUGUUUGCAUGUUUGCUUUGGGUAUUCGUCUUUUUUUUUUCCCCAAAAAACAUUGACAUCUUGCUAAUGCAGAAUAGAGAAUGUUUUAGGUUUUCU